rnacentral:lncRNA from 1 species
GCCGCGCAGGCUCGGCGUUGGCCUCCGCGGCCCGUGCGAGUGCGCCCUUCUCGGGUCCCCUAGGUCGCGGGGCAGCCGGGGCGGAAGGGGCUUGUUCAUUAUUUUGAGAGUUUGUUGUGAACGUCAUAACCUUUCGUCCUUAAAUAUUGCCGAUACUUGACCUACGCAAGAGACAAUGUCAUGUGAUUCAGCCUAAUAUCUCAGAGGAUGCAGCAUUCAAGGUUCUAUCUUGGAAGCAGAGACUGUGCCCUCACCAGAUGCUGAACCUGCUGAGCACCCUGAUCUUCCACUUCACCUUCAUCAGAACUGGUGCUAAGAAUUCUGAAUUUAUUGAGGAAAUAAAUGUCUGAUUGCAACAAAAGAAAACUUGUCUGGCUUUGGGAAGGAAGAGGCUUAGGAAAAAAAUUAAAGGCGUCUUUACUAGAAGUUCAAGACUGGGGCUGUGGCUGAGAUGUCACAUGGCAGAUAGGAUCACAAAUUUCUGUUGUAUCUGGAUGGAGAUCAGCAGGAGGAUCUAUGGACUGCUGUGAUUGCACCUGCCAUCUUAUGCAGAAAUGACCUGAAGACAGACUGAAACAACGUGUUCUACAGCCUGAAAAUAUCUACCUUGACUUACAGUUUUAUUAAUGCUGGUGUGAUCAGACUGGACAAAAAUUAGCAUAUGUUAUUAACUGAUCUAAUUCAAGUGCCAAUUCUUAAUAGAAACACAAAACAAUAAAAGCAAUUCAGAAAAUAUUUACUAUUUGAUUUCUUCAAGCUCCAAACAGGCUUGUGCUUAGCUGUAGAAACUUGAAUAUAUACAAAUCUACAUGGAUAGAAUUCUUAGUCUUCUUUGGGCCAGGUGUGUUAGCCCCUUGGGAAAGGAUAAAG